rnacentral:tRNA from 1 species
GCGCCCAUAGCUCAAUGGAUAGAGCAGCGGUUUUCGAAACCGAAGGUUCUAGGUUCGAGUCCUGGUGGGCGUA